rnacentral:tRNA from 1 species
UAGACCUUAUCUUAAUAAAAGAGUCUGAGUUGCAUUUAGAAUAUGUGGGUUAAUGUCUCGCAGGUCUAA